UUUUCAGAUGAUUACCAAAGCAAUUCCCAUGCACCAGCUGCAAGACCCUCAGCCGGAGCAACUGGUGUAGAUACCACAUCAGAUGACCAACACUUUGUGGAUAAAUAUCAACUCCAGCUCACUGAAAGAGUGAGCCACAUGGAUCCCAUUCUGGAUCGGCUCCUCGAUAGAGGUGUCCUCCAGCGUGAGGCUUACAUUACAAUCAGAGCUCUGCCGACCUCUCGGAAGAAGAUGAGAGAGCUCUACUGCGGUUGCCUGCAAGCUGGUGCUGCUAGCAAAGAUAUCUUCUACCAAAUCCUUCUGGAAAAUGAGAAAUUUCUCAUUGAAGACCUCAAUACAAAGCACUAAAUGUUGGGGUGAAAUCUUUUUUAGACCAAAACCAGUUUUUAAUACAUGAAUAAUUGGGAAAUAUUCAUUGCAAUGUUAUGUCUCUAUGUGGGUUUCCUAUUUGACUUUUGACCAGAUUCAGCAAAUAUGAUGAUCAUGCAAAAAUAAUGAACACAGUUUAUAAUUGAAGAGCUCUCCUUUUUUAACCUCAUUAAUUGAUGUGAAUUAAAACCAAAUUAUGUGAAUUCUGCCAAAUGCUAAAAGAUUGUUUUUCCAAGUCUUUUUUUAAAUACAUUUUCAUAAACACCAUAAUAUCAUAACACAAUCGGGGAAUAGAGUACAGAGCUGAAAUUUACGUCAUGAUAUUAAUUAUAACUUUUUUACCCUACAAGGAUACUGUUACAUUUGGAUGGUGUUUAAAAAUGUCUGCAUCAUUGAAACGUUUUCUAAUCUUUAAUAAAACAUUCAAAUUUGUAUGUGUGGUUUUAA